CGUAUAAACCUGAUUUCUUCUGAAGCGUAGGGCUGAUUCUUUUCGACUCUUCCUCUUCAUCUUCACGGGUUGCUCUGUAGCUCCGUUCCGUUUGGUCCUCUUGAUCAAUCAAUGAGGCUAUUUAAUAUUUUCUUUAUUGUUUCGUUCUAACUCCCUUUCUUUCUUUAACAUAUAAAUUGCUGUCAUAUCUUCUCUGCUCCUCCACUCUACAAAUCCGUCAAUCAUAACUCAGCUCAUCCAUGGCUAACAACAAUGGGAAAAUCAUUUGCGACAGCUCCAGCUAAUGUCUUUCAAGAUAUAUUGAUAUAUUACCAGAGAAGAGCUAAACGUCUAUUGUGAUAAGAUUUAUAAACAUCAAAUGCAAAGGACCGUUCCUGAAUGUUUACCUCUGCGACACCGUUGUGGUAGAGUUCCGCCACAAGUUCAACGCUAGCCUAUCUAUCCCUGUCGUCGCCUUGAUCACAAUAGUAACACAACAUACACUUACGUCAGUCACAAUAUAGCAUCCUUCAUUUUAACUUUUACGUCAACUGUUAUUAGUUUGUCUUCAAUAUCAAUAAAUUUUUAGCUGUCUGUUUUGUUAUAAUCUAAAUUUACGUAUCCUUAGUUUACUUUUGUAUUAGUACUAUCUCCACGUGUAUGUUAAAGUUAGCUCCAUGUCGUCUCUAAAUUAAUUCACAGAUACAGAGUGGAAAUAUUUGUACACGGUAAUGGAGACAAAGCAACUUUUGUGCUUCUUGGAGACUCCGGUGCGGAGCCUAUUGGACGACAAGUUAUUGAGCUGAUGGACAACUAUGUGGAGGCAAACGGGGCUAAUGGUAAGUCAUCUAACCCAACGAUGACGUGGGAUGAAGUCAUGAAGAUAACAAGGCCAACGGCCCCUAUGCUGGCACUUUCCUCACUGAACAUUGGCACUUGAUGGCCCACGCACUUCAGCAUCUCUACAUUACAACUGUGUUUCAUUUUACGCUGCGUAGAGUUUACCCCCCUUUUCUCUUGACGUUCAGUAUGCAUUUUGUUCAACUUGCAAUGAUGCAAUCUAUAGAUCUUUAAAAUUUUCACCUUAUAAAUAAAUUGUACACGCAUACAAA